GAUGAACGCUGGCGGCGUGCCUAAUACAUGCAAGUCGAGCGAACGGACGAGAAGCUUGCUUCUCUGAUGUUAGCGGCGGACGGGUGAGUAACACGUGGAUAACCUACCUAUAAGACUGGGAUAACUUCGGGAAACCGGAGCUAAUACCGGAUAAUAUUUUGAACCGCAUGGUUCAAAAGUGAAAGACGGUCUUGCUGUCACUUAUAGAUGGAUCCGCGCUGCAUUAGCUAGUUGGUAAGGUAACGGCUUGCCAAGGCAACGAUGCAUAGCCGACCUGAGAGGGUGAUCGGCCACACUGGAACUGAGACACGGUCCAGACUCCUACGGGAGGCAGCAGUAGGGAAUCUUCCGCAAUGGGCGAAAGCCUGACGGAGCAACGCCGCGUGAGUGAUGAAGGUCUUCGGAUCGUAAAACUCUGUUAUUAGGGAAGAACAUAUGUGUAAGUAACUAUGCACAUCUUGACGGUACCUAAUCAGAAAGCCACGGCUAACUACGUG
rnacentral:rRNA from 1 species